rnacentral:rRNA from 1 species
CAGCAGCCACGGGAAUACGGAGGGUGCAAGCGUUAUCCGGAUUCACUGGGUUUAAAGGGUGCGUAGGCGGGCAGGUAAGUCAGUGGUGAAAUCUUCGAGCUUAACUCGGAAACUGCCGUUGAUACUAUCUGUCUUGAAUAACGUUGAGGUGAGCGGAAUAUGUCAUGUAGCGGUGAAAUGCUUAGAUAUGACAUAGAACACCGAUUGCGAAGGCAGCUCACUAAACGCUCAUUGACGCUGAGGCACGAAAGCGUGGGGAUCAAACAGGAUUAGAUACCCCGGUAGUCCCUGUCUCUUAUAC